GGAAUCUUCGGCAAUGGACGAAAGUCUGACCGAGCAACGCCGCGUGAGUGAAGAAGGUUUUCGGAUCGUAAAACUCUGUUGGUAGAGAAGAACGUUGGUGAGAGUGGAAGGCUCAUCAAGUGACGGUAACUACCCAGAAAGGGACGGCUAACUACGUGCCAG
rnacentral:rRNA from 1 species